UGGGGAAUAUUGCACAAUGGGCGCAAGCCUGAUGCAGCCAUGCCGCGUGUAUGAAGAAGGCCUUCGGGUUGUAAAGUACUUUCAGCGGGGAGGAAGGGAGUAAAGUUAAUACCUUUGCUCAUUGACGUUACCCGCAGAAGAAGCACCGGCUAACUCCGUGCCAGCAGCCGCGGUAAUACGGAGGGUGCAAGCGUUAAUCGGAAUUACUGGGCGUAAAGCGCACGCAGGCGGUUUGUUAAGUCAGAUGUGAAAUCCCCGGGCUCAACCUGGGAAGUGCAUCUGAUACUGGCAAGCUUGAGUCUCGUAGAGGGGGGUAGAAUUCCCGGUGUGGCGGUGAAAUGCGUAGAGAUCUGGAGGAAUACCGGUGGCGAGGGCGGCCCCCUGGACGAAGACUGACGCUCAGGUGCGAAAGCGUGGGGAGCAAACAGG
rnacentral:rRNA from 1 species